rnacentral:rRNA from 1 species
CCUACUUGAUCAACGCCCCUACCCCCAUUACCCCUGCCAGCUCCGCCAACACCCAUGGCACGUGGAAUCCCGUGUGAAUCAGCAAGGACCACCUUGCAAGGCUAAAUACUCCUGGGUGACCGAUAGUGAAGUAGUACCGUGAGGGAAGGGUGAAAGGAACCGCAGGUCGCGGUG